rnacentral:rRNA from 1 species
GACGAACCGUGCGAACGUUAUUCGGAAUCACUGGGCUUAAAGGGUGCGUAGGCUGCGAGGAGGGUGGGGUGUGAAAUCCCUCGGCCUAACCGAGGAAUUGCGCUCCAAACCGCCUUGCUGGAGUGAGACAGAGGUGAGCGGAACUAAUGGUGGAGCGGUGAAAUGCGUUGAUAUCAUUAGGAACACCAGAGGCGAAGGCGGCUCACUGGGUCUCAACUGACGCUGAUGACACGAAAGCUAGGGUAGCGAACGGG